UAACCAGACAUGGAACCUGAAGUGACAACCCCAUUUUGUGCUCCUGAAGGUCAAACCUGUUACCCAGCCUUAUCACUGGGAUGUGGAGUUUCAUUUCAGUUGUUUCUCAGUUUGGAGCUACAAGAUGUGAAGUGCUGUCUUCUGCCUCCCAUACCACCCAGCACAGCCUGAACAAGAUUCUCACCACCAAUCUCCCAAGGAGCACAGGCAAGGCUGGGACCUGGCUGAGGUGCAUGCAGAUGAAGUCCACCAAGAAAAAGUCAUGUAAGCCCUGGGGAAUCUACAAAGUCAUAAGACUGGGGUCCACCUCUCACAGUCAGACAGACUCCAGGUCCAGCAGAUACAGAAGAGCAGAUGGGAGACCCGGCCUUGUGGGAUGGAGUAACUACUGGAUUCCUGGACUUUCCAUCCACAGCUGGCUGUUGUUGGACGAGCUCGACUGCAACCUGUCUUCAAUGAGAAGGGGCAAUGAGACAGAAA
rnacentral:lncRNA from 1 species